GGACUACAAGGGUUUCUAAUCCUGUUUGAUCCCCGCACUUUCGAGUCUCAGUGUCAAUGUUGGGCCAGAUCGCCGCCUUCGCCACCGGUGUUCCUCCAGAUAUCUACGUAUUUCACCACUACACCUGGAAUUCCACGAUCCUCUCCCACAUUCAAGCUUCGCAGUAUCAAAAGCACUUCCUGGGUUAGGCCCAGGGCUUUCACUCCUGACUUACAAAGCCACCUACACUCGCUUUACGCCCAAUGAUUCCGAGCAACGCUUGGACCCCUCGUCUUACCGCGGCGGCUGGCAC
rnacentral:rRNA from 1 species